AUGAAUAUUCAAUUGUUGUUAUAGAUGCCGAGAAGUCGAACGUUUGGCAAAGCUCUCGUAAACAAGUGCUUUCCAGAAAAAAUGCAUUGGAAAAUAUAAGACGACUUCGAGAAGUGAGUCGCAAUUCUAGUGACAUAAGUGAGGUGCAUUCAGAAGAAACAGAUUGUAGUACUUCCAAUAACAAUGACUUGGAGACAUCUUACACCGCUGUGGAUGAAGAAAAAGUAACCUAUCAGAUUUCAGGAAGAAGGCUUAUUGAAAUGGCUUAUUUUAUGGAGCAAUUACAAGGAAUCAGCAAUCAUAAGUCUAUGUUUAAUUGUAAUUUGAGUACAAUUGAACUAUUGAGUGAAAAAAGGUCUGGGCUUCACUCGACCUUUUCAAUUAAAUGCAAAAUGUGUGGUGCUGAAUUCACGUUAGAAUCAUCCAAAAAAACUGAAAAUAAAAUGGACGUGAAUGAAGAAAUUGUCGCUGGUAUAAUGACGAUUGGUGCUGGGGUUACACAGCUUAAUACUGUUUUGUGUCAUGUAAAUAUGCCACCAAUGUCAGUACGAUUGUACCAAGCUAAGCAUGACAUAAUAAGUCGGUGGUGGAAAAAGGC